rnacentral:rRNA from 1 species
UACGUAGGGUGCGAGCGUUAAUCGGAAUUACUGGGCGUAAAGUGUGCGCAGGCGGCCGCGCAAGUCGAGUGUGAAAUCCCCGAGCUUAACUUGGGAAUUGCGCUCGAAACUACGUGGCUGGAGUGUGGCAGAGGAAGGUGGAAUUCCACGUGUAGCGGUGAAAUUCGUAGAUAUUCGCAAGAACACCAGUGGCGAAGGCGGCUCACUGGCCCGAUACUGACGCUGAGGUGCGAAAGCGUGGGGAGCAAACAGG